ACCAAACGUUGUAUACGAGACAUCAACCUUCUCAUUAUAUAUAUCUUCUUCUCUCUCAAACGCUCUCUCUCUCUCUGAGCUAAGACAAGUGCUUUCUCCCGGGAAUUUAAAAGGUAUAUUUUUUGAAGCUACCAAAGCUAUCAAGUCCCUUGCCAUCAACACCUUCCUCCUCAUUUUAGUUCGAGACGCAACAGCAGAGCGGCACGCCGAGCUGGAGGCGACAACAGCCGAGCAGCACGGCGCAGCAGAGCGGCAUGCCGAGCUGGAGGCGACAACAGCCGAGCAGCACGACGCAGCGCUUCCGGAGCCGAGCAGCACGACGCAGCCGAGCAGCACGACGCAGUGCGUGAAUGACCGAAGUGAAGAAUUGAUUGUGUCGAAGAGAUCCUUGAGGCCGAGAGACAAGCUCAAGGCGCCGAACAAGUUCAAGAAUUAGCCGAUUCGUUUUGU